rnacentral:misc_RNA from 1 species
AAUUUUUAUUAAAUUGAUUUUUUUAAUGACAUCUAAAAUGGUAUUUUCAUUCAAAACAGUAAUUUAAUCCCUACAAACUUAAUGUCAAGUAGACACUAAGGCUACAUCGAGCAAGUCACACAAAAGUACCCUUGCUGAGAAGCUUCCAACCUGUAAACAAAAACCCAGGUAAAAACUACAUGUAAACCUCGCCCUGAGACGCGGAGGAAGAAACCCACGCUUCAAGUGGGGGGAAGAAAUUCAUUCCCCAUGACAAUAUGAUGCCCGUUUAUUAUGAAAAGCCAACUCAAAUACCAGAAUUCCACCAUCUGCCACCUAACUAUUUAUGCUUUCUAUGGUGAUAUGAGUACAGCCUUCAAAACCAGCCAGCAAUAAAUCAACGGCGCAAUUCCACUGCGGAGUAGUCAUUUUAACAAUGCAGACUACAACUAUAUUGCCAACUUUAACCAUGCAGUACAAGCAACACAUGGGCAAAGAUUGCUUAGUAGGGCACCUUUCGCUUACACAAUAGACAAUACAUCUGGCAAUGACUCGGGAGAUCCACUGCUACCAUUGAGCACAAUAACAUUCCCAUCAGAAUCAACAUCCACGAUAACUGAAUCACCCUCUUUGAUAUCUCCUGCAAGCAUUUUCUCAGCCAUGCUGUCCUCCAGGAGUCUCAUUAUGGCUCUUCUCAAUGGCCUUGCCCCAUAGCUUGGGUUAUACCCUUCUUCAACGACCCUCUCUCUAAAUCUCUCUGUCACCUGAAGUUCUAUGUCUUUGACCUUCAGUCUGUCAAACACCUCCUUCAACAUUAUAUCAGCUAUCUCCUUGACCUCAAGCUUAGUGAGCUGCCGGAAGACAAUCAUCUCAUCCAACCUAUUUAAGAAUUCUGGCCUGAAAUAUUGCUUCAAUUCCUCUGUCACCAGACUCUUGAUCCGAUUGUAACUGCUAUCCUUCUCAUCAUAAUCAAGGUCAAAUCCUAUCCUCCUUCCUCCUUUCUCAAUAACACUGCUUCCAACAUUUGAAGUCAUUAUCAGAAGAGUAUUCUUAAAGUCCACAGUUCUACCCUUGCUGUCUGUCAACCUUCCAUCUUCAAGAAUCUGAAGCAUCAUGUUGAAGACAUCAGGAUGGGCCUUCUCAAUCUCAUCAAAGAGUACUACAGUGUAAGGCCGACGCCGAACAGCCUCUGUUAACUGCCCACCCUCAGUGUAACCAACAUAACCAGGAGGUGAACCAAUGAGCUUGGAGACGGUGUGCCUUUCCAUGAACUCACUCAUAUCAAGGCGGAUCAUAGCUUCUUCAGAGCCAAAGUAGUAAGCAGCUAGUGCUUUUGCCAGUUCUGACUUCCCCACACCAGUUGGACCAGAAAAUAUGAAGCUAGCAAUUGGGCGAUUGGGGUUCUUGAGUCCAACACGGGCUCGGCGAAUAGCACGGCUAAUGGCUUUGACAGCUUCAUCCUGACCGAUGACUCUCUUGUGCAAGGUCUCUUCCAUCUUCAAGAGGCGAUCAGAUUCAUCAGUUGAUACUUUCUCAACAGGAAUGCCAGUCCAAGAAGAGACGAUGUGCUGAAUGUCUGAUUCAGUGACAAUAGGACCUACAUCCCCUGCCUCAGUCUCAGCCUUACUCAUCUCCUUGCCUUUCUCCACAAUAGCUGCAAUUUGUGCCCGUAGGUCCAUUUCACGAUCCCGUAAUUCACCAGCCUUUUCAAAGUCUUGGCUGCGGACAGCUUCAUCCUUCUCCUUUGUUAUUUGCCUGACCUCUUUCUCAAGCUCCCUAGCUUCCUCAGGAACCUGUGCAUGACGAAGGCGAACCCGAGAACCAGCUUCAUCUAUCAAGUCAAUUGCCUUAUCGGGCAGAAAACGAUCACUGAAGAAAUAAAAUUAAAUAUGAGAAAAGAAGAAAACUUCUGCAGGAUUCUGUUUAUAUCACCAAAAAAAAAAAAAGGAGAGAGAAUAUUAGUGUAUUUUAUGAAACAAAUUAUUGGUGAUGCAGAAGAUAAUAUUAGAACAGAUGGAUCAUUAAUUUUUGUAAUAUGUGAAUUUUAUUUCAAAAUGUCAAAACUGAAGAUAUGAAGUGUAACUACAAAAUGAGAUAAAAACUUAUGCAUUCCAAGAGAAAAAAUAGAGCGAUAGAGGAAAUGUUUCAUUUAAUUAAACAAUCCACCCCCCAUGUCUAUCUCUAAAAGUGAUGGCAUGGAGGACACUCCACCAUCCUGGCACAAGUAGCAUCUUCUCGGUUCAAAUAGUCAUGAAUGCACUUAGGUUCCAUAGAAAAUAGAAUGUGCCUGCUGAUGCGAAAUUCUCUGUCAUGAUCUACAACAAUGAAUGUAAGAUGUGCUACUGGGCACUAUAUAUUUUUGAAGUAUAAAUAAGGGGUAUUAGUAGUGCUACAAGCAAUCCCAUCUUAUAUCAAGAUCCUUCAAAGAGGAAUGAACAAAUAGAGGCUGCAGCAUGCAUCUGUAGACCGUUAACCAGAGAUUUAUGCAGGAAGACAGAUGCAAUUUAUUUGUAUGCAUGAAAUCUAUUGGAAUUUCUGAAAUAUAUGGUUUUAGAAUGUUGCAAAAAGCAAAAAAAAUAAAAAUAAAAGUAUAUUAGAAUAUAUCCAAUCAUAACUCCUAAGAAUACAUUUGGCCUCAAUCAGUACUGGUUCCAAUUAUAUGGAAAGUAAUGGACACAACAAAAAAGAAAGAAAAAUAAUGAGUUUAGACACAUGAUGAUUCAAAAAUGUCCCAAGCUUAUUCAAUAAGCAAAUACUUGCAAUAAAUUUCCAUAUUUUUAUAUCAAUUCUUAAUUGCUUAACCUUUCAGUUAAAGUUUUGUUUAGGAAUAUUUUCUUAUAACUUCCAGAUUUUGAUUUUCUAUACAGGAAGACUGGUGAAUCUAUUUUAGGAUCUUCAGUAUUUAGGAAGUUAUUUUAUUGAGGAACUUUUAUUAUAUUUCCUAUUUAGUAGGAUGUCAUUCCUAAUUACUUGAAGGGUUUAGCCAAUAAACAGGACUACAAGAAUAUUCUGUAAUACAGAGGUUUCAAUAUUAAUAAAAUUGGAAAUUUUCUUUCUUUUUCUCUCUACCUUCUGCUGCCGCAACAAAAUUAUUAGAGUAACCCAUCAAGGCGGUAAUUCCACCAUCCUGCAUCUACCAUUACUGAUAUAACCAGUGGUGGGAUUGGUAGCCUGCACACAGUAGGAUUCUACCUACACAAUGUUAACUAGUUGCAAGUUCAUGGUUCUGCUGUGUCCACUUCGUUUAUUUUACUAGUGUUACAACUACCAAUGUCACAUAAUAUUGUUAACAAGUGUAGCAAUGAUGUCAGUCAAGUCGAUUACUCAAAUUAGGUAAUGCUCAUACUGGGUGUUGCACUUUUCACUAAAAAAUGGGUAUACUAUUUCCUCCUUUUAUACUGUAAAUUUACUACUCAGCUCUCAAUAAUUUGAAAAGCAUGAAAUGGCAAACCUACAUUAUCGGAUUUUAUUUUUAGUGGGAAACAUAGAUAACUAGAUAUCAGUUAACAGUUAGAAAAAGCAAUAUUGAUGAGGAAUCGAAAGAGAAAUUAGAUGUCUAAUUAUAGCAACAAGCAGCAAUAGAAGAGGAAAGGGAUA